rnacentral:misc_RNA from 1 species
GGAAGCUUAGAUCCUCUUCUGGUAACUCAAUCACUGCCCGACAUACCAUUUUCGUCGACGUAACGUUGUCCUAAACUCUUUCCACGUGUCCAUUUCUGUCACCACUUCAAAUAUCUUCUCAGCAUCCCUCCCUCUGUUUUCAUCACUGCUUUGCUCUGUUUCUGUUUCUGCCUCUGCUUUUGUCAAAGCUCUUCCAGUAAAAGAAGUAUGUGAUCCUUUCAAGUUUCAACCUUCUUUCCUUGGCACAAGUUCUGAUUCGGGUUGAUUGUUUUCUUUCUUUAUUUCUUACUUGAGUUCUUUGUUAUGAUUAAUUUUCUUUUAUUUUUGUUCUUGAAUUUCUCCACUUGUUUUUUAUUUCUUGCUCAAGAAAGUUCAGAUGAUGAUGAUGAAGAGUCUGAGAAAUCCAAAU